rnacentral:rRNA from 1 species
UCCACGCCCUAAACGAUGCGAACUGGAUGUUGGGUGCAAUUUGGCACGCAGUAUCGAAGCUAACGCGUUAAGUUCGCCGCCUGGGGAGUACGGUCGCAAGACUGAAACUCAAAGGAAUUGACGGGGGCCCGCACAAGCGGUGGAGUAUGUGGUUUAAUUCGAUGCAACGCGGAGAACCUUACCUGGCCUUGACAUGUCGAGAACUUUCCAGAGAUGGAUUGG